CGAAAUAUUUUAAUCAUUCUAGCUUUCGACUAAGAUUCGGUCAUCAUCAUUCCUGAUGAUGACUGAAUCUUAGUCGAAAGCUAGAACGGUUAAAAUGUUUC
rnacentral:miRNA from 1 species